UUAGCUUACGACACCUCUCCAUCAGUACCAAUUUCACCCAACCUGGGAACAGAGUCUAGGACGCAUGUACAAAGUUUAGGCCCCAAAAUUCAUGACUCCAGGCCAUCACCAAGUCUGCUCAUCCCUUGGAUCUGCCAUGGUUUCAAAGGAAUCUGGAAAAAAGUGUGGAAGGGUGGUGAUGGGAUCAUUACACUAUGAAUGCACAAGAUCUGCCAGCAAGUGGGGAUAGAAGAACAGCACCCGGAAACAUGAGAACAAGAAGCUAUUAUACAAGCCUGAAAGGAAGGAAAUUUCGCCUAAGACAGCAACGGCUGUAGUGUGAAGCAUAUCUUUCUUACUUCCGAGAACUUAUCUUAGAUCAUCAAUCAGGAGGCAAGGGUAUUCUGGAGAAACUUCACUAUUUGUUUACUUCUGGCUUCUGAACACAUGGUAAGAUAUUCAGGAGAGUUGAAAGACUUGCUUUUGAUCAAUUCUGAUGUUUCUUUGGGAGGCUUAAAAGUCUUUCUAGUGGAAAACACUACAAAACGCAAAACAAAUUUCAUCUGCCCAUUUCCUAAGUAGUAAAUACAUGCCAU